rnacentral:tRNA from 1 species
GCGGGGAUGGCUUAGUGGUAUAGCGUCUCCUUGCCAAGGAGAAGGUCGCGAGUUCGAAUCUCGUUCCCCGCU